rnacentral:rRNA from 1 species
UACAGAGGUCCCGAGCGUUGUUCGGAUUCACUGGGCGUAAAGGGCGCGUAGGUGGUUCGGCAAGUUCAACGUGAAAUCCCAAAGCUUAACUUUGGAACUGCAUUGAAAACUGCCGGGCUGGAGUCUGGGAGGGGGGAAUGGAAUUCUCGGUGUAGCGGUGAAAUGCGUAGAUAUCGAGAGGAACACCGGUGGCGAAGGCGAUUCCCUGGACCAGUACUGACACUGAGGCGCGAAAGCUAGGGGAG